CAAAGGUUAGUUUAAUAAAAAUAUUAGUUUUGGGAAUUAAAGAAAUAAGAGAUUUUAUCUUUGA
rnacentral:tRNA from 1 species